rnacentral:siRNA from 1 species
CCAUCUCUGUCAUUAAGUUUCCGU